GCCAGCAUGAUGUAGUGCUUUGUGUGUUGAACUAUGACUCCAGAGACUAGGGUUCAAUUCCCAGUUUGGCC